GUAAUUAUCCAGUUGAUAUUUAUCUUGUUCCAGUCACCUUAAGAAAGCUGUUUGGUUUUGGAAAUCACUAGUGGGUAAAAAAGACCAAUUUGCAACUAGGCUGUCAUGCUCUGUUGAAAACUAUGUCACAAUAUCACAAUACUAGAUGUUGGGCUCAAGACAGCAAACAGAAAGCAGCAAGGGCAGUGACUGGAAGCUGGGAGAGAGGGUCAACAGCUGAAUCUC
rnacentral:antisense_RNA from 1 species